rnacentral:rRNA from 1 species
GAGACUCUGUGCGCGUGCAUAUCAAUAAGCGGAGGAAAAGAAACUAACAAGGAUUCCCCUAGUAACGGCGAGUGAAGCGGGAAGAGCUCAAAUUUGAAAUCUUAAAGGGUUUCCCUUUACGAAUUGUAGUUUAAAGAAGUGUUUUCUGUUGGAGUUUCGGUAAAAGUUCUUUGGAAUAGGACAUCAUAGAGGGUGAGAAUCCCGUAUUUGACCAUUAUUUUCAGCUGUGUGAUACACUUUCAAAGAGUCGGAUUGUUUGGGAAUGCAGUCCAAAAUGGGUGGUAAAUUUCAUCUAAAGCUAGAUAUUGGCGAGAGACCGAUAGCGAACAAGUACCGUGAGGGAAAGAUGAAAAGAACUUUGAAAAGAGAGUUAAACAGUACGUGAAAUUGUCAAAAGGGAAGCGUUUGACACCAGUGUUGUUUUUCCGAAAAUCAAUUACGAAUGUUUUGUUUUUGAGGAGUUAUGACUUCAUCGGCUUGCUCCUUUCUUUAUGAAACUUUCUUAAUGCACUUUUCGGUUAACAAGUCAACAUCAAUUUCUUUUGUUGUAAAAGGGUAUGAGGAAGGUGGCUUUCUUUUCGGAGAAAGUGUUUAUAGCCUUGUGCCUCUACAAUCGGAGAGAUUGAGGUCUGCAGCGUAGAUCCUUCGGGGUUAGAUACGUUUGUGCUAAGUUAUAGCUUUUCAUAGACAACUUGUUGACUAUGUUUAGUCUUGUAGCUUACUCGCUGACGCUAUUUUACCUACGCUUAGGAUGUUGAACUCUAUCACACACAG